GUAGGUGAACCUGCGGAAGGAUCAUUAACAAAAAAUGAACUAAUAACUAACGAUACGUAGCAGCAAUGCUAUUGAAACUAAAGAUAGCCCCAAAAGCUAACUGGUUGAUAUAAACCUAAAUUUUCAACGAUGGAUGUCUAGGUUCCCACAACGAUGAAGAACGCAGCGAAAAUGCGAUAUGCAGUGUGAAUUGCAGAACCACGAAUCAUCGGAUCUUUGAACGCAACUAGCGCAGGUACAACCUGCAUGUUUGGUUCAGUGUGCGCAACCAACUAUCUAAGCAUAAUGUAGGAGAAGUUCUCCUAUUAAGAUCAUGCUCUCAGCAGCAGUCAGAGCAAUCUGAGCUUCUGGGUGAAAACUUACUUUAUUUGCACCUGAACACAAGCAAGAUGACCCGCUGGACUUAAGCAUAUUAUUAAGCGGAGGAAAAGAAAUUAACAAAGAUUCCCUUAGUAAGGGCGACUGAACCGGGAAAAGCUCAAAAUUGGAAUCAGUGAUUCAAAGAAUCUCUGAAUUGUAAUCAGGGCAGCCUAAAUACGUAACUAAGUUCAACUGGAUAGAAAACCAGGUCAAAGAGGGUGCUAACCCCGUACAACUUGCUUACGAGUAAGGUUGCUUCUACAAGAGUCGGGUUGAUUGGAAUUUCAGCCCUAAGUGGGAGAUAUGGUUCUUCCAAAGCUAAAUAUGGGUGGGAAACCGAUAGCGAACAAGUACUGUGAAGGAAAGAUGAAAAGGACUUUGAAAAGAGAGUGAAAAGAUCUGAAAUCGUUGAGAAGUAAGCGGUAAAACUGACGGACGUACUGAAAGUGUAUGAGAUAACCUCUCAGAAAUCUUCCCAGAACGUUGGGCAUAAUCAAGUUUGUCGCGUCAAAAAAGGUGAAAGCCGGACAGGACGUGGCGGGCUUGAGGGACUAAGGUGAUUAUGCCAAAAUGGUUUUUACCGUCCCGUCUUGAAACACGGACCAAGGAGUCUAUCCUAUAUGCGAGUGUGCGGGUGAAAAACCCAUACGCGAAAUGAAAGUGAAAGGUGCGCAGGGCAACCAGCAGCACCGACCGACCUGGUAAAAAAGGUUUGAGUAUGAGCAUAUCUGAUAGGACCCGAAAGAUGGUGAACUAUGCCUGAGUAGGGUGAAGUCUUGGGAAACCAAGAUGGAGGCUCGUAGCGGUGUUAACGUGCAAAUUACUCGUCAAACUUGGGUAUAGGGGCGAAAGACUAAUCGAACCAUCUAGUAGCUGGUUCCUUCCGAAGCUUCCCUCAGGAUAGC
rnacentral:rRNA from 1 species